rnacentral:rRNA from 1 species
UACAGAGGUCUCAAGCGUUGUUCGGAUUCAUUGGGCGUAAAGGGUGCGUAGGCGGCGCGGUAAGUCGGAUGUGAAAUCUCGGAGCUUAACUUCGAAACUGCAUUCGAUACUGCGGUGCUUGAGGACUGGAGAGGAGACUGGAAUUUACGGUGUAGCAGUGAAAUGCGUAGAUAUCGUAAGGAAGACCAGUGGCGAAGGCGGGUCUCUGGACAGUUCCUGACGCUGAGGCACGAAGGUCAGGGGAGCAAACGGG